CAAAGGUGUUAAAUUUUAAUUGUCCCCAACAAAUUAUUAUUUUUUCUUCAUUUUUGUUUGUUUGGUUUCAUUCAUUAUCAUAGGAUCACCAACAACAAGACAAGACAAGCCAAACAUGACGAUGUUUUAAGAAAUGUUAUAAUAUUUGAUGAUAUGAUGAUGAUGAGUUUGGAUUACAACAAAAAAAGGGUGUUGUUAUUGUUUGAGAUUUAAGGUGUAAAGAAACAAAGAAGUAUGACAUGUUAACUACAUGAACAUGACCAUGUAUGAUGUCAUCGUGUUAUAACGACACAUUUAUCGUCACAUUGUUGUUGGGGAACAUACAAAGGAACAAGAAAAUUAUUAUUGUCUUAGAAACAAACAAGGAAAGAGUACAGGAGAGAUAGUUGCAGAGGAGGGGUUAGCAUAGGUUGGAUUUCUUCUUCUUGUAUGAUUAUAAAUCCUCUUUUUCAAUGAUAUUUUCCCGCCGCGCCGCCGACUCGACUCAGACAUAUCUUGCAACAUUUAAUAACAAGAAAGGUUUAUCAUCAUAUAUUGAUUGCAAGUUUCAUUGAUAAGUUAAGAGAUUGAGAAGUUUUCAGCAAGAGAAUUACUUCAUUGCACAUUAUUUUAAGGUUUGGAAAUUGAAUAUUCCAAGUUGGUUGUUAGAUUCUGUUGAUGGAAUAUAAGGUUUGAGCAGCUGAUUUGGGUGCACAAUAAUAUUUCAGUUAAUAAUAUGGCUGCUCAACUCAAUUAUUUUGUUGGUUCUCAUGUUUGGGUUGAGGACCAUGAUGAUGCCUGGAUAGCUGGAGAAAUCCUUGAAUCUAAUGAUCAUGAGCUCACCAUUAGCUUUGAAUCAGGAACAAGAAAUGCCUUAAACUUUUGGUGAUGGUGUUUGCAUUGCAUUGCAUCGCAUGCAGACAUACACAGGAAACAUAUUAUAGCAGUGAACCCUUUUCAAAGGUUACCUCAUUUAUAUGCAAAUGAAACAAUGGCAAAGUUUUUGGUGAGCAGAGUCCACAUCCUUUUGCAAUUGCAGGUUAUGCAUAUAGGUAUCU